rfam:Devosia sp. Root413D1 contig_2, whole genome shotgun sequence.
GGGUGCGUAGCUCAGAUGGUAGAGCAGCUGACUCUUAAUCAGCGGGUCCACGGUUCGAGUCCGUGCGCACCCA